AGCCCUCAGGUGGGAUGGUUCUCCUUUCUUUUUCUAAAAAUAUUGGUAUAUAAUCAAGGCUGAUGUUAUUAUGGCAAUUAAGCAUAUCUUAGGUAUAAAUUUAUGUCUCACUUUUAAAAAUAAAUAUUGAUCACCCUUAUUUUUAAAGAGAUUGAAUCUCUCUCAAGGAUCGGACUUUAGGCCUACUAAUUUUUGUAACACUAUUUAUAAAUUAGUGGCUG
rnacentral:lncRNA from 1 species